GCUCCGCUACCCGGAGCCCCGUAGUUCCAGGCCAACAGCGAUUAGCAAAGCUAUAAGGGUCCAUAAGUAUAUGAUAUGUGUGUCUCGGUAACAGUAACGGGGCUAAGUCAGACUGUUUCAAUACAACAAUAUUAAAACGAGCUAAUGGCGCUACUCGACUCUUGUAUGUAAAACAUUAGGCCGCGAUCUAAGCCAACAGCGGUGACUUUGCUUUUUCUAUAAAGAAACAUUAACCGGAGCGAAAAGCUAACUGUGCUAACAUCCGCACACCUUUGACAAAAGUGAGAUUAAAGGGUUCCUGUGCUGAGAGUGACCAUCAUCCUUGAUCCAUUGCCCUCAACCUUCACAGAGCAGUAUCACCACACAUCACCUACACACACACAAUCACCACAUCUUCGUUUUCUCAAAUUUCAUUCUACAUAUAAGAUUAUAUUAGGUUGUCUUAGAUUAGUUUAGUUUACAUUAGGUGGUUUAGGUCAGUUUGACAAGCAUUUCUCUUGUUGUUUUCUCUUGUUUUUAACUUCUAUCAGCAGGAUGCCAAGGAAGUCGAGGCGGUCUGUGGUGUUGAAGCAGCGCUGGAGGAAGCUCAACCUGGAGGAGCUGAGGUCUUCCCCCACCCCCCCAGAGACGGUGUCCCCCUCGGCUGGAGAGGAGCCUUCCAGAGGGUCAAGGACCAAGAGGACCAGGGAGACCCACCCCCCCUGCUCCUGAGCUCCAGUCGGCAACACAGUUGGAUCUUCACCCCCAGCCAAGCCUUUCUGGAGCCCGGAUGAUGUGCAAGUUCGUGCACAUAAGUAUCUACUUGUUUUAUCCCUAAAUGAUCAAUAAAUUAAUUCAUCAUCAAUACUGAACUUUUUCAACAGGUUUUCCUGUACUUUUUUACUGGUAUAAACAAGUGAUUGUUGAUAUUUCC